AACGCACAUUGCGCCCGUCAGCAUUCUGGCGGGCAUGCCUGUCCGAGCGUCAUUUCAACCCUCAGGGUCCCCCUUCCGGGGGAGGAGCCUGGCGUUGGGGAUCGGCCCGCCCCCGUGCGGAGCCGUCCCCGAAAUCUAGUGGCGGUCUCGCUGCAGCCUCCCCUGCGUAGUAGUUUACAACCUCGCACCGGAGCGCGGCGCGGCCACGCCGUAAAACCCCCGACUUUCUGAACGUUGACCUCGGAUCAGGUAGGAAUACCCGCUGAACUUAA
rnacentral:misc_RNA from 1 species